rnacentral:tRNA from 1 species
ACCUAGGUGGCUCAGUUGUUUGAGCAUCUGACUUCAGCUCAGGUCAUAAUCUCGUAGUUCGUGGGUUCAAGCCCCACACUGGGCU